CAGCAUUAUGCUUUAAGUCCUGAUCGAAGACAAUAUUGCUGCUGCACACAAACAUCAUUUAGCCAAAGCAAAGUCUUUAUUUCAGUUUAUUGUUGUUAAUGUAGCCCACAUGAAUAUUUGCCACCAUGGAGGACACUGGCGCUGUGUCCUGAUGGUUCUGGGUUAGGAUGUGAUUGCAAACGUUUCACAAAUUAGAAAAAAAAGAAAAAAAGAUACCGAUUUUGCUUUCUUGUGUCCUAUCUGAUCCAGAGGCCUGAGGUUUUAAGGGGUCACCAGUCAAAAAAUUUCAGGUUGCAAAAUUUGGCACAAAGGAUCCUGUACUUUUCCCACUGGCAGGGAACGUUGGAACCUGAACAUUAAUCCUGCACUGCAAAAUUUGUCUAGUAUGAAUAAAAUUCUUAUGGAUACUGGGCUGAAAUUUAUAGAAAACAAGUAAGUAACAAUGAUAUAAAGGGGAACAUUAAAGAUGGGUUGGUGUUUGAGCACAAAUAAUUUUAUUUCACAUAUAUCAACUCACACCACUUACAUCUGCACAGUUUUACACAGCGCAGUUUGAAUAUUAUUCUAUUUUAGUGUAUUUACAUACUUUAAGUGGCUGAUAUCAGAAUUCAGUGCAGGCAGGCUGAUGUGGAGCUUCCCUCAGGAGCAGUUACUUUGCUGUUUGUAAGAAAACUUCUGAAUCCGCUGUGCACGCACACACACACACACACACACACACACACACACACACACACACACACACACACACACACACACACACACACACACACACACACAGUAGGCUCGAUUCCAAACAACACCUGAGCAUAUACCUUCUUUUCCGCUGUCACGUUCUGCUUUUAUUUAGUAUAUUCUUGGCUUUCCCAGCCCUGAGCGCUUGGCACAAAGCUUCAGUGUGGCCUCAUCAUCAUCCGCUGCACUCAAAAAUAGAGUGUUGCUCUUACCUCAGAGUCUGGUUCGCUCUGAGUCCUGACAGCAGAGCAGCAUGGUUGAAAGGUGGCUCAAAGGCGACAGUGCACACCUGUGUGUGUGUGUGUGUGUGUGUGUGUGUGUGUGUGUGUGUGUGUGUGUGUGUGUGUGUGUGUGUGUGUGUGUGUGUGUGUGUGUGUGUGUGUGUGUGUGUGUGUGUGCGCGCGCUUCUAUGGGGAUUUGUUGGGUUUUUUUUCUGACUUGAUGAGAGCAGAUCUAUGUUGGAAUGAAUGUGAUUAGUUUCUAACAGGGAGCGCAGAGGCAAUCAGUUUGGCAUGAAACAACCUGUUACAUCCCUUCUUUCCUUCCUCCUUCACCUUUUCUGGUGCCACACGUCAAGGGGAGGCAGGAAUGCAGGAAAGGGGAAACAACAACAGAGAAUGUCCUUCUCCCUGGAGCUAUCUGGCAGAGUUGGAUUACAAACUGAACACACACACACACACACACACACACACACACACACCCUUUGUAGUGAAUCUACCUCUUGUCUCACCUUUGCCCAUUCCUGGUGGCUGAAAUUUGAGAAUACACUGGCUUGAGGGCUUGGCUCAGGUUGUGGCUUGGCACAACCUCCAACUUAAAAAAAACAAAAAACCCUGCAAAUUCCUAAACCGUUAAGGAAGUGAAUAUUCUGCUCUCAGCUUUCUAAAUUGUUGAUAGAGGUGUGAUGGACGUGAUCAGCCAGACAGCAUCGACGGAGCAGUGGGAUGCAUAACAAAAGUCCAGCUAGAUGGAGAGAAAAGCCGGCCAACUUGUCAGUCAGGCAGGUUGACAAAACAUUUAGUCAGUCGGUCAAUCGACGACUCCAGAAAAACCAGGCACUACAAAUGGGAAACACAUAACCAUAGAGAGUGUCCGAUGGCGACUCCAACUAUGAGAUGCCAAAGGAAGCGACACUCUGUCACCCAACACUUUAAUUACCUUUGUGUGUGUGUGUGUGUGUGUGUGUGUGUGUGUGUGUGCGUGCGUGUGCGUGCGUGCCAGACCUGUUUGGCCAGAUAGGAUGACUGUCACCUCUCAUCUUCUCAAAUUAGUCCCACCACCACCUCCUCCUUUGGGACGGUCCAUACCAGGUUUCAGCAGCACACUUUUCAACACGUUUCGGUGUAGCUUACAUAGAGAUAUUUGCUGCUCACUUUUCUCCGCAGGAUUGUAAACAUAUCCUCUUUAUCUUUUGUUCAAAUCUUUUUUCUUUUUUUCUCUCCCCGCAACCUGUUUCCAAGCUUCACAUCUCACAGUGCACGCUUACAGUCCACAAGUAUUAAUACAGUAUGUGCUCAUGUGUGAAUUUACACACAGCUGAGUGUUUGAGUUUUACAUGGUGGUGUUAUCCACUGUUACUGUGUGCCGUCUUUUUCUUUAUAUAUUUUUUUGACACUCACAAUCCUUCCUCAUGUAAAAACAACUCACAAGGGACUUCAUCAAAAUUAUAUUCUAGAAGCGAACAAAUCACAAUCACAAUUGACCGAUGAUGAUGAUUUUCUCACUUGUUUAACAAUGCAUGACUUUCUCUCAUUUCCCAGGGAAUGAUGCCUGGCUCUUACCGAGCAGGGCCGGUGUGAGGGUCAAGGUCUGCCUGCUUUCUUGUCACGUGAACACGCACAACGAAAAGCGGUAUCUACUGAGAUAUUUAUGAUGAAUCAGAAUCAUGCCUGCCUGUCGAGUACAGUAAAAACUUUAUGGAAGCUUUAGCGGGACACAUUGAUAAGGGUUGGAUUUCUACCCGUGCUGCCGAUGGUCAGUGUGUUUGUGUGUGAGCAAGCAACAGACAGAGAGAGAGUGAAAGAGUGAGCGAGCGCUGCACACAGCAUAUACAAAAAAAAAUAGUAUCAUCAUGAAACUUUGGCAGGACAAGUAUACUGUAGUAUACACAGUUUAUACUGUAUAUAGUUGCCUGUGCACCCGGGGCAUGCUUCGCCCCUGUGAUGCUUUUUCAUUCCAUUUUAUUAUGUCACAGUGUUGCCACAUCAAUCAGUUAAUUACUUUAGUGAGAAGUAUAGUGUUAUGAUAACGGAUAAAUUCAUCAGUAAUAGGUUUGUUCAUAACGGUCUCCUCUCCCCAUCUCCAGUUGUUCUCCAACCAACCACUGCUGCCGUCCCGAGCCCUCACCUGCACAUACUGACUCGAGGUGUUUGCUUACCCUCCUCGCUUUGCUGCCUUCCUCUCUGCCAAGCACCACUGAUACCCACAAACACACACCUGCAGCCAACAAUAGAGGCCUUAUUCGGUGUGGGCACGCUGCGGAUCCAGCCGCCCCCUAUCAAGGACUGGGAUCUGGACCGCAGAGUUUCUGAGAGUUACUUAAAACUCAGCCUCAGACAUAACACUAAGUCCCCAUGGCCAUGACAUCACUGUCUAAAUAACAUGCUUGUUAGAAAUCUGCCUUGAAGUCUGUAGCUGCACAGAGGGAUGAAAGCGAGCGAAUGAAAGAGAGGGCAAAAGCCAUCAGACGCCUCUUCAAGAGCAGCCUUCGGCUUCAAAGGCAAACCUCAGGCGCUCUGACAGAGAACAACAGCUGAUGACGUCAUGGAGGACACAGGACAUUUAACCAAAAACUCCACGCAGCCCCAACGCGUUUCUCCAAGCACAAAACAAGGAGACGACAGGAAAAUAACAACGCAAAGGUGCAGAAGAGUGCUGAGGUUUAAUGAGGAAGAGGGAGAAAAACAGAGAUCCAGAGAGCACAGGGGUUCAUAGGGGUCGGCUGUGCGCGCACACAUCGUGGGGAGAAGGCGAGAUCAGAGCGACGGGGAGCGUUCCCGUGUUUGGGAUAGGAGGGAAAGAUAAACAAGCCGGGAUGGCAGCUCAAAGAGAGGCAAGGAGGAAAUGGGAAUGUUGAGAUUCCAAAAAGGAAAAUCUGUGUCUCUCUCACACAAAUACACACAGAAGCACACGCACACACAGAUGGAAUAAGUGGUAACCAUGGAACAUGAGUUUUAGAAGUUUGUUAUGGAUUUGUUUUCAAAAUGACAGGCUUUCACAACAACUCCCUUCCACUGCUGCGUGCCAGUAGAAGAGCGUAUGUUUUACAUCAUGACUCUCAGUCUUCAGACUGAGACUCGCGGUCCUCGGAGUAAAAACAGCAACAAACAAAAAAACAGAUCUGGCCAUACACUGUGACGAUUGAAGAGUGUGGUUGGACGCUUAUGUGGAACACAGGAGCAGAGACACGGGCAGAUCUGAAAAGCUUUGAUGCAAACGUUCUUGGACAGAAUGAAUGAAUCAACACAGAGAUUGGUCUCCGAGCAGGCAGGGAGCAGGUGAUCCAGCAUUGUUGUGUGGCAGAGGAGGCAGAGAGUGGCAGGCUAUGGUAAAAACGGCAGAGAGGUGAGUCCUAAUCACAGGUAAAAGACAAAGGAGGUUCGUUUCAGGCGGACAGGAAGGUUCAAACAAGAUUUUCCAAAAACAAAAAGGCAGAGAAGUUCUUCUGCAAUGGGGAACAAUGAUCUGGCAGAGUCCUGGUGGUUGAAGCGGUCCUUAUAUACUGCAGGAUCUCUGUGGGCUUGACCACGGCUACAGCCACACCAAUAUGUAUUUGUACUAAAACAAAAACCUUUUAGCUCCGUGAAAAUGAAUAUCAUGUGGGCAUGUGCGCGCUGGUGUAAACAGGAAGCAGAUUGUCUACUCUGCAGUUGCUUGGUUACAGAAAAUCCAAAAAAAAAACCCCAGCAAUGGUGAAAAGUAAGACAGGGGCGUCUCUUCUUCGCCUGAGGAUGAGGCCGAACUGUUACUGACGGUAAGUGUUCAAAACGUUUGCCUUCACCGCUGGUAGUCGAGUCUUGAAUGAUAAGAAUGACUCGGGAAGCAAAUGCGUGCGACAGCAUCAUCAUUUUCAAACGUCUGUUUUUCCAACGUAAACGUAGCAGUGAUGCGUACAUACAUACCGUAUAUCUUCUUUCACAGGAAUGCUUAUUUGCAUUGUAUAUAUAAAAAAAGUCUAAUGUGUUGAUGAAAUAUUCAUUGUCUCACGAUAAACCUUAAUUAACGUUAUUCGUCGGCCUGCCGAUACAUACACACCUGUCAAUCAUGACUUUUCACCCCGUGAUUAAUUAAAAUAGAACCAAAAUUUCUAGAAACAUGAACACUUGAACAUACAUCAGUGUGAUAAGAACUAUGCCUAAAAUGACAGAAACCAUCUGUGGGAAAAAAAGAACAUUUGGCGGCUUGUACAUUAAAUUUUUUGUUUGCAUCAUGUCCCAUCUGCUAACAUGGAGGAGGCGGGGUUAAUGGCCGAUAGAGCAGUCAGCCUCCAGGGGGCGACAAAGAUAUUUUGGCUUCACUUUUGGGAGCAGUCAUGUCGUCCAUCUUUACAUACAGUCUAUGGUAGAGACUGACCGUUCCUGAAAAGAUUGAUGUGAUUUACAAGAUACGGACUCCCAAAAUCAAGAAUAAAUGUUAAUCAUCGUAUAUAAAUAUCUUUGGCAUUUUCUUCACGACUUGAUAUUUCAACUCCACACACAACAGCUCACUAUCAGAUCAAUUCCUGUCCCCCCACACCUACACUUUGGCAUGACUCAAGUGAACAUUAACACCGAUCUAAACAUGUUUUUCCUUCUUUGAUUAGAAAAAUGUAAACCAGCGCCUGCAGAACUGUUUUUCCUGAGGCCAGAGAGUAACGAGAGGAUGUUGGCACCGCACAAUGGCCACAGAAAUCCAAAGUAUCCCAAACAAACUUCAUCACUCCGCUGCCUGCCCUAUCCUCCCCUCUGAUCUCUCUUCUCUUUCAUCCCCCUCUGGCAACAAGGCAACGAAUUUCUGAGCAGAGCGAGAAGGAGAGCGAGAGAGAGACACAAGGAAACAGAAACCGGUAGACGGAGAGAUAGCGUGCUGCUCUUGAAACUUUGGAGACAGCUAUGCCAGGAAUGCAGGUGCCUGCUGUGAAGACAACAAAGUGAGGAGGACCUCCGCAGGAGCGCAGCGUGGGCAAGCAGCACGUCCGUGUGAGGGAACCCAGCCCACAUUUCAACUCUCAACCUGCCUCUCAUGCAAAGCAGUUGUUCAAAGUUGAGUUUCAAAGGUACGCUUGUCACCGCGUGAGGCUCCUGAAGAUACCGCGUGACGGCAGGUCAGAAAAAUCCAGAGAGGAAAAAAAAGGAGGAAAUUUGUACUCAUUAUCCAGCUGAUUAUCCAGCUUCACAAUAAAAAAACCAGUGUGAAUUAUUGGUUUUCCCUGAAAAAUGACACGACCAUGUCUGGUACAGCUGGGGGGUGGGCUGUGUCGUCCUGGUCGUCAAAAGAAAAACUAGAAACAGAUUCCACUGCAUUAAAAAGAGAGACUGACAUUCUCUUACCCAAUCUGUCUAUUCCUCUCUCUCUC